rnacentral:rRNA from 1 species
GACGAACGCUGGCGGCGUGCUUAACACAUGCAAGUCGAACGGAAAGGCCUCUUUCGGGGGGUACUCGAGUGGCGAACGGGUGAGUAACACGUGAGUAACCUGCCCUUGACUUUGGGAUAACUUCUGGAAACUGGGGCCAAUACCUGAUAGGACCUACUGCCGCAUGGUGGGGGCUGGAGAGUUUCGGGGGUUGGGGAUGGGCUGGCGGCGUAUCAGCUUGAUGGGGGGGGAGUGGCUUACCGAGGCCUUGGCGGGAAGCCGGCCAGAGAGUGUGAGCGGCGACAUUGGGACUGAGAGACGGCCCAGGCGCCGAAGGGAGGAAGCAGGGGGGAAUAGUGCACAAGGGGUGGAAGCCGGAUGCAGCAGCGCCGCGGGCGGGAAGACGGUCUUGGGGUUGUAAACCGGUUGCGGUCAUGACGAAGCUUUGUGUGACGGUAGUGGGUAAAGAAGCACCGGCUAACUACGUG